UGCCUAAACCUUACAGUUCCGGCUGUAGGGCAUGGCGAAAAAUACCGUUCAGAGUUUUAAGCUCCUCGUCAGAGACUCUGAACGGUCAUAGUCCGAAAGGAUUAUGGGUAGCGAAAGCUAUC
rnacentral:sRNA from 1 species